AUUCCUUGCAACUCCAGUGGGCUAGAAUCUUGAUCCAGUUUUCUCCAGACUAGAUUUCAAGCUACUCUGCAUGAUGUAGAACCUGUAACCAUGUAACCUCAUCAGCUUCCUUUUCCCUUUUGACUUUUCCUGUUGCACACAGUUCAGUCUGACUAUUCAUGAAUCUUCUUUGGGAGAAAGAAAAAUGGCCCAAUGUAUAAUGUUUCUGAAUGGGGAAGGGAGGAAAAAAAAAAUCACUGUUCUUUGUAGCUCUAACCAUGAAAGUAAAAGCAACAAAAAUAUCCCCCAGUGAAUCCCUAGAAUCAUUUAAUAAUGUAACCGGUUUCUCUUUAUCCUGCAGGUGUACACUUAAAGCGUUCUGGGAAUAUGAAUCCCUUCUGCACCCUGGAAUCACCAGUCCAGCCAUGCAUGGAGCUGGGGAAAGCAGGCCCUGAAUUGUCUAGAGAGACUUGGUGGAGGAGGCCACGGCCCGCCUUGUCCCUGCCGGGUCCCAGCCAGGAACAACUGGAUGUUGUAAAUGUUUCUCAUCUGGCCUUAAAAUCCAUGAAAGCUGGAAAAUCACAAGGCAUCUGUGCACAUACUGGUGGAUUUUAAUGAGAGUCCUGUGUUUGGAGCACCAGAAAUAAACCAGCUUCAGAAGCAAAGGAGGAGGAAGCAGAGCUAGAGAUGGAAGGAGACCCAGCCAGCCCGGGCUCCAGUGACAUCGGCUGGUACACGCUUUUGUUUGCUUACGCUUGUUGAACUGAGUUUUUCAUAUGUAACUAACGAAUAGUGGCACAUGUAAG
rnacentral:sRNA from 1 species